GUGUUCGAUCAGUUGGGGACUGUUGAAGUGAACGUGAAUGUCGAGGGCGCCGGCCGUCGCGAUCAGGCCGUCCGCCGGAAUCGUAUCCGUACUCGGUCCGAUCACCAUGUCGACGCCGUCCAUCGUGUCGGGGUUGCCGGCCUUGCCGACGCCGACGAUUUCGCCGUCGCGAACCCCGAUAUCGCCCUUGCAGAUCCCCAGUACGGGGUCGAUGAUGACGACGUUCGUAAAGGCCCAGUCGAGCGUUCCCUCCGCCUGGGUCGUCCCCGACUGCAUGCCCAUCCCGUCGCGCAU
rnacentral:sRNA from 1 species